UACGGGGGGGCAAGCGUUGUUCGGAAUUACUGGGCGUAAAGGGUUCGUAGGUGGCCAACUAAGUCAGACGUGAAAUCCCUCGGCUUAACCGGGGAACUGCGUCUGAUACUGGAUGGCUUGAGUUCGGGAGAGGGAUGCGGAAUUCCAGGUGUAGCGGUGAAAUGCGUAGAUAUCUGGAGGAACACCGGUGGCGAAGGCGGCAUCCUGGACCGAUACUGACGCUGAGGAGCGAAAGCCAGGGGAGCAAACGGG
rnacentral:rRNA from 1 species